rnacentral:rRNA from 1 species
AGCGAACGCUGGCGGCAGGCCUAACACAUGCAAGUCGAACGAACUCUUCGGAGUUAGUGGCGGACGGGUGAGUAACACGUGGGAACGUGCCUUUUGGUUCGGAAUAACUCAGGGAAACUUGUGCUAAUACCGAAUGUGCCCUUCGGGGGAAAGAUUUAUCGCCAUUAGAGCGGCCCGCGUCUGAUUAGCUAGUUGGUGAGGUAACGGCUCACCAAGGCGACGAUCAGUAGCUGGUCUGUGAGGAUGACCAGCCACACUGGGACUGAGACACGGCCCAGAAUCCUACGGGAGGCAGGAGUGGGGGAUCUUGCGCAAUGGGCGAAAGCCUGACGCAGCCAUGCCGCGUGAAUGAUGAAGGUCUUAGAGUUGUAAAAUUCUUUCACCGGGGACGAUAAUGACGGUACCCGGAGAAGAAGCCCCGGCUAACUUCGUG